UUGCAAGGUUGCAGUCACUUCCGGAACUGGGGGUAGAACCUGCAAUUAACAAGUAUGAUUGAGUUUUUACAUGUUGACAUAAAACAUGAAAGCAAAUUCAAAACAUCACUUUCACGUGCUAAUCAUCCAUGAGGUCAGCACCAUAAAAUUUCUAAAAAGGUACAUCUGCUGGUUCCUACUCUCAAGACAAAUAACUAUGAGACAGAGAAAGCCACUAUUUUCAUGUCAAGAAUAUAUUUAGUGCAGAAGCGCUUUACAAUAGAAGCAAAUGAUUGUUAUGGCGACACCGACUGUUGGAAUUAAACUUAUUAACCAUAUAAGGAGAAGUGCGAAAUCCAGAUUACUUAAUCCACCCAAAGAUGCAAUGUUCAGCAAGGACUAAAAUGAACAGGAAUAACUGGUUGUCUGGUUCCAACUGAUUUUGGAGUGCCACAUAAUUUCUUGAUGGAUUUAUAGAUAGUUCUUUGGCUAAAGUGCUUCUUAGAGAUCUAGAGCACUCUACUCUUAGGCGUUAGUCUUAAUAUCAUCAGUAUAUAAAUUUAUUAGCACUCUCCCCCCAUAGAUUAAUAUCAUCUGACAGUGAUUGAUCAAGAUGUCCUUCAAAAGAUAAGCAGAUAGAUAUAAAACGGAGACAAAGCAAUCUUUUUCUUCUUCUAAAUUAUGUCUUCCAUUCGCCGUUUAGUAUGCAUUCGCAAAGUCUACCAAAAGCGACAUGAUGCCAGUGAAGAUAGAAGGUGAGGUAAAAACAGAAAAAUCUAAUAUCACUCCUCUUUAUCUUUAGGCAUGGCCUAUAACUGGGACUUUGGAUGCAUUAUCAGGGAGAUAGAUGAACUCCACUUUGCACAAAGUUCCGUAUUACAUCUUUAGACUACUCACUAAAUACACAGAGAAUUUCAAGCUGUCAAUCAAAUGCUAACAGAUUUGCAACAUUUAGACAUGUACCUACACAAGUGACUCUGGUUCAAUUCUACUACAAUGAUCAAAGAUUUGUGUUUCAGAGUUGACUAUAUGUAGGCCAGUCAUUCUUUACUCGGAAAUCCUGUUCAUGAUUUACAGGGAUCUAUUAAAGUAUCAUCUCUUAUAGACGCCCUAAAAAGGGUGUGUUUUCUUGCUA